rnacentral:rRNA from 1 species
ACCAUCUAGCGACCUCCACCAACCACUGACCAUCUAGAUACCCUGGUAGUCCUAGCUGUAAACGAUGAUUACUGGGUGUGGGCAUGAAGAGUGUCCGUGCCGAAGCAAAUGCGAUAAGUAAUCCGCCUGGGGAGUACGGCCGCAAGGCUGAAACUCAAAGGAAUUGACGGGGACCCGCACAAGCGGUGGAGCAUGUGGUUUAAUUCGANNCAACGCGANGAACCUUACCANNNCUUGACAUCCAGUGCAAAGCUGUAGAAAUACAGUGGAGGUUAACAUUGAGACAGGUGGUGCAUGGUUGUCGUCAGCUCGUGCCGUGAGGUGUUUGGUUAAGUCCAGUAACGAGCGCAACCCUUGCCGUUAGUUACUCCAUUAAGUUGAGAUACUCUAACGGGACUGCUAGUGUAAGCUAGAGGAAGGUGGGGAUGACGUCAAAUCAGCAUGCCCCUUAUGUCUUGGGCUACACACGUGCUACAAUGGUCGGUACAAAAAGUUGCGAUCUCGUAAGAGGGAGCUAAUCUGAAAAAGCCGAUCUCAGUUCGGAUUGAGGGCUGCAACUCGCCCUCAUGAAGCCGGAAUCGCUAGUAAUCGCGAAUCAGUAAUGUCGCGGUGAAUACGUUCCCGGGUCUUGUACACACCGCCCGUCACACCAUGAGAGUGGAUAAUACCAGAAGUCGGUAUUCUAACCGCAAGGAGGAAGCCGCCCAAGGUAGGAUUGAUGAUUCGGGGGUGGAGGUCGCUAGAU